rnacentral:rRNA from 1 species
GAUGAACGCUGGCGGCGUGCCUAAUACAUGCAAGUCGAGCGAACGGACGAGAAGCUUGCUUCUCUGAUGUUAGCGGCGGACGGGUGAGUAACACGUGGAUAAUCUACCUAUAAGACUGGGAUAACUUCGGGAAACCGGAGCUAAUACCGGAUAAUAUUUUGAACCGCAUGGUUCAAAAGUGAAAGACGGUCUUGCUGUCACUUAUAGAUGGAUCCGCGCUGCAUUAGCUAGUUGGUAAGGUAACGGCUUACCAAGGCAACGAUGCAUAGCCGACCUGAGAGGGUGAUCGGCCACACGGGAACUGAGACACGGUCCAGACUCCUACGGGAGGCAGCAGUAGGGAAUCGUCCGCAAUGGGCGAAAGCCUGACGGAGCAACGCCGCGUGAGUGAUGAAGGUCUUCGGAUCGUAAAACUCUGUUAUUAGGGAAGAACAUAUGUGUAAGUAACUGUGCACAUCUUGACGGUACCUAAUCAGAAAGCCACGGCUAACUACGUG